UACGUAGGGUGCAAGCGUUAAUCGGAAUUACUGGGCGUAAAGCGUGCGCAGGCGGUUAUGCAAGACAGAUGUGAAAUCCCCGGGCUUAACCUGGGAACUGCAUUGGUGACUGCAUUGCUGGAGUAUGGCAGAGGGGGGUGGAAUUCCACGUGUAGCAGUGAAAUGCGUAGAGAUGUGGAGGAAUACCGAUGGCGAAGGCAGCCCCCUGGGCCAAUACUGACGCUCAUGCACGAAAGCGUGGGGAGCAAACAGG
rnacentral:rRNA from 1 species